AAUGAACGUUGGCGGCGUGGAUUAGGCAUGCAAGUCGAGCGAGAACCCCGCAAGGGGGGACAGCGGCGAAAGGGACAGUAAUGUGUAGAUUAUCUGCCCUCAGGUCCGGGAUAGCUGCGGGAAACUGCAGGUAAUACCGGAUAACAUCUCCGGAUCAAAGGUGUGAUUCCGCCUGAGGAUGAGUCUGCAUCCUAUUAGCUAGUUGGUGGGGUAAUGGCCUACCAAGGCAUUGAUGGGUAGCAGGUGUGAGAGCACGACCUGCGUCAUUGGGACUGAGACACUGCCCAGACACCUACGGGUGGCUGCAGUCGAGAAUCUUCGGCAAUGGGCGCAAGCCUGACCGAGCGACGCCGCGUGUGGGAUGAAGGCCUUCGGGUUGUAAACCACUGUCAGAGGGGAUGAAAUGCGGGUGGGUUCUCCCAUCUGUUUGACAUAGCCUCAGAGGAAGGACGGGCUAAGUUCGUG
rnacentral:rRNA from 1 species